UUGGGUAUCGCCAAGCGGUAAGGCACCGUAUUCUGAUUCCUGCAUUCCUAGGUUCGAAUCCUCGUACCCCAG
rnacentral:tRNA from 1 species